GACGAACGCUGGCGGCGUGCCUAAUACAUGCAAGUCGAGCGGAGUUUUUAAAAGCUUGCUUUUAAAAACUCAGCGGCGGACGGGUGAGUAACACGUGGGCAACCUGCCCUGUAGACUGGGAUAACUUCGGGAAACCGAAGCUAAUACCGGAUAAUCAUAGAAGUUGCAUAGCUUCUAUGUAAAAGUUGGGUUUACCUAACACUACAGGAUGGGCCCGCGUCGCAUUAGCUAGUUGGUAAGGUAACGGCUUACCAAGGCGACGAUGCGUAGCCGACCUGAGAGGGUGAUCGGCCACACUGGGACUGAGACACGGCCCAGACUCCUACGGGAGGCAGCAGUAGGGAAUCUUCCGCAAUGGACGAAAGUCUGACGGAGCAACGCCGCGUGAGCGAUGAAGGCCAUCGGGUCGUAAAGCUCUGU
rnacentral:rRNA from 1 species